GAGUUUGAUCCUGGCUCAGAACGAACGCUGGCGGCAGGCCUAACACAUGCAAGUCGAGCGAGGUCUUCGGACCUAGCGGCGGACGGGUGAGUAACGCGUGGGAACGUGCCUCUUGCUACGGAAUAGCCUCGGGAAACUGGGAGUAAUACCGUAUGUGCCCUACGGGGGAAAGAGUUUUAUCGGCAAGAGAUCGGCCCGCGUUGGAUUAGGUAGUUGGUGAGGUAACGGCUCACCAAGCCGACGAUCCAUAGCUGGUUUGAGAGGAUGAUCAGCCACACUGGGACUGAGACACGGCCCAGACUCCUACGGGAGGCAGCAGUGGGGAAUCUUAGACAAUGGGCGCAAGCCUGAUCUAGCCAUGCCGCGUGAUCGAUGAAGGCCUUAGGGUUGUAAAGAUCUUUCAGCUGGGAAGAUAAUGACUGUACCAGCAGAAGAAGCCCCGGCUAACUCCGUG
rnacentral:rRNA from 1 species